rnacentral:rRNA from 1 species
UACGGGGGGGGCAAGCGUUGUUCGGAAUUACUGGGCGUAAAGGGUCUGUAGGUGGCUUGUUAAGUCAGACGUGAAAUCCCUCAGCUUAACUGGGGAACUGCGUCUGAUACUGGCGAGCUUGAGUGCAGGAGAGGAACGCGGAAUUCCAGGUGUAGCGGUGAAAUGCGUAGAUAUCUGGAGGAACACCGGUGGCGAAGGCGGCGUUCUGGACUGUAACUGACACUGAGAGACGAAAGCCAGGGUAGCAAACGGG